rnacentral:rRNA from 1 species
AGAUAUGAUCAUUCCGCCCUGAAUAUGGAUUCGUAUGAUCUUGGAAGUCAAGCAAUCUCGGGCUUGGUUAGUACUUGGAUGGGUGACCGCUUGGGAAUACCAAGUGUGAUAAGCA